UUUUCUUAGACCUAGAGAUAAUAUCAGAUCUCCCCCUCUCUAAAGAGAGAUGAACGACUCCUCUCUGCUCUUGAACAUAGACAAACGACCAUCCCCUCCUUUCUUCUUCAUCAUCUUCUCCAAAAAUAGACCUAAGACCUAAAAUCCCUAACCCUUAGAGAUCAGCCAUGUACCCCUUUGAUUACCCUAGAAGACAACCACAUACACAAGAGAGAGGAAGUAGUGGACAAACUUAGGAUUCCUAAUCUAAAAAAUACAAGAAAAAUUAUAGAGAAAAAUCCAAAGAAACAUCAUGGAAAGAGAUUAUAAAGUUGUUGCAUUUUUCUACUGUAUUUUUAUACAAAUUCUGGUUCCUCAAUCAAAUUUUCAACUGAGAAUAUAAGCUCUCUUCUGCUAUCCCUGUUGUCGUAGCUAGUUUUGUCUUGCCGAGCUUCAUUUUCCCUUCUGUCUAGCCUUUAUUUGGUACGCAUAGAGUAGUUCGCGCAUAAUCAGGUACUCUUAUGAACUUCAGAAUGGCAAAUGAGGAUGUAAAGCAUGUUUUAGCUUGUUUUGUAAUAAUAGGUUGAGUGUUAAAGUUAUAGCUUCAUAUGUAUGUUUUUUGUAGCGAGUUUGGGCGUUAAAGUUAUAAUUUCAUCUUUGUCAAAAAUGUAUGUUAUUUGCAGUUUAUUUGGUUUAGCAUUUUGUUUUUGUAAAUAUUCUGAAUCUGGAUGUUUAACCUAAACUUAGUAUUAAUAUGAAUGAUCAGGUUAGCUUAGUUAUGC